rnacentral:rRNA from 1 species
GAUGAACGCUGGCGGCGUGCUUAACACAUGCAAGUCGAACGGAAAGGCUCCUGCUUGCAGGGGUACUCGAGUGGCGAACGGGUGAGUAACACGUGGGUGAUCUGCCUUGUACCUCGGGAUAAGCCUGGGAAACUGGGUCUAAUACCGGAUAGGACCAAUCUUUAGUGUGGUUGGUGGAAAGUUUUGUCGGUACGAGAUGAGCCCGCGGCCUAUCAGCUUGUUGGUGAGGUAAUGGCUCACCAAGGCAUCGAUGGGUAGGGGUUCUGAGAGGAAGGUCCCCCACAUUGGAACUGAGACACGGUCCAA